AGCCAACGCUGGCGGCAGGCCUAACACAUGCAAGUCGAACGAACUCUUCGGAGUUAGUGGCGGACGGGUGAGUAACACGUGGGAACGUGCCUUUUGGUUCGGAAUAACUCAGGGAAACUUGUGCUAAUACCGAAUGUGCCCUUCGGGGGAAAGAUUUAUCGCCAUUAGAGCGGCCCGCGUCUGAUUAGCUAGUUGGUGAGGUAACGGCUCACCAAGGCGACGAUCAGUAGCUGGUCUGAGAGGAUGACCAGCCACACUGGGACUGAGACACGGCCCAGACUCCUACGGGAGGCAGCAGUGGGGAAUCUUGCGCAAUGGGCGAAAGCCUGACGCGGCCAUGCCGCGUGAAUGAUGAAGGUCUUAGGAUUGUAAAAUUCUUUCACCGGGGACGAUAAUGACGGUACCCGGAGAAGAAGCCCCGGCUAACUUCGUG
rnacentral:rRNA from 1 species